ACAAACUUGGUCAUUUAGAGGAAGUAAAAGUCGUAACAAGGUUUCCGUAGGUGAACCUGCGGAAGGAUCAUUAACGUAUCUCUGGCGGGCGUCACGCGCCCCGCUCCGUCCUCACCGGCCGUGCAGCGGGCGCUCGGCCCUGUCCAACCUUCACAAACCCACCGUGCACAUUUGCGGCGGAGGGGGCGCUGUCUGGGCUGCCCCUGAAACCGUUCUUAACAGACCCUUGAAACUUUUGAAUGAUCAGUGGCCUCCGAGCCGCCUAAAUUUGAAACAACUUUCAACAACGGAUCUCUUGGCUCUCGCAUCGAUGAAGAACGCAGC
rnacentral:misc_RNA from 1 species